AAUGGAGGAAACUCUGACGCAGCCAUGCCGCGUGCAGGAAGACGGCCCUACGGGUUGUAAACUGCUUUUAUCCGGGAAGAAACCCCAGGACGUGUCCUGGGUUGACGGUACCGGAGGAAUAAGCACCGGCUAACUCCGUGCCAGCAGCCGCGGUAAUACGGAGGGUGCAAGCGUUAUCCGGAUUCAUUGGGUUUAAAGGGUGCGUAGGCGGGGUGGUAAGUCAGUGGUGAAAUCCUGCAGCUUAACUGUAGAAUUGCCAUUGAUACUGCCAUUCUUGAGUGCGCUUGAAGUGGGCGGAAUGUGCCGUGUAGCGGUGAAAUGCUUAGAUAUGGCACAGAACACCAAUUGCGAAGGCAGCUCACUAAGGCGAUACUGACGCUGAGGCACGAAAGCGUGGGGAUCGAA
rnacentral:rRNA from 1 species